GUCCACGCCGUAAACGAUGAGUGCUAGACGUUGGGAAGCCUAGCUUUUCAGUGUCGCAGCUAACGCAUUAAGCACUCCGCCUGGGGAGUACGGCCGCAAGGUUGAAACUCAAAGGAAUUGACGGGGGCCCGCACAAGCGGUGGAGCAUGUGGUUCAAUUCGACGCAACGCGAAGAACCUUACCAACCCUUGACAUGCCAGGACGGUUUCCGGAGACGGACUCCUUCUCGCAAGAGACCUGGACACAGGUGCUGCAUGGCUGUCGU
rnacentral:rRNA from 1 species